rnacentral:rRNA from 1 species
AACGUAGGACACAAGCGUUAUCCGGAGUUACUGGGCGUAAAGGGUGUGUAGGCGGUUGCUUAAGUUUGGUGUGAAAUCUCCCGGCUCAACUGGGAGGGUGCGCCGAAUACUGAGUGACUCGAGUGCGGGAGAGGAGAGUGGAAUUCCUGGUGUAGCGGUGAAAUGCGUAGAUAUCAGGAGGAACACCGGUGGUGUAGACGGCUCUCUGGACCGUAACUGACGCUGAGACACGAAAGCGUGGGUAGCAAACAGG